GUGAUUGUAGCAGUAUUAGCUUUGAAGGGGUAUAAACAAGGCAAUGAUUUUUCAAACAAUUUAAUGUAGAUGUCCAUACUUGAAAGAACAUCUUAAGACUACGAUGCAUUUGUUUUUCUUUCACAAACCCCGCAGUCUCUCUACGCAUCUGUCGUCUGCCACAUGUAGAUCAACCCCAGCAAAAGUGUUGUUCAGUAAUAUUUUCACUAUAGGGAGAACGAUGAAUAUUUGAUGCAAAGGGGUUGAGUUGCAGUUAUCGAAAGUGAGAGUGUUAGGAACAUCUGGUCUUCCUGAAGAACUGAAGCCUAAAGGAUUCGGACCAUGAAUUCAGUGUUAAAGAGUCCGUUCCUCGGUUUAGAGUUUUAAAGUUGUUGCAGAUACUAUAAGCAACUGCUCAGAAAUGCAUCUAACUCAUGUUUUGCUACGAUCAUAGAACUCUAUAUAAAGGAGUCAUUUGUGGGCAGAUAUAUAAUACAGGGACAUCUUUAUCCAAGAAUGCAUUUUGAGGUUGAACCAAGUGAACUCUUGACAAUACCAAGAUGCUUCAAUAUGGAAAUCAAGUCUGGAUCAAAUAAGCAUCCGAAGACCACCAUACUGCAGAUGAAAAUAUUAAAGUUAAAAAAGAUCUGUUUUUAAUAUACAAAGAGGUGAUCUUUUGUGUCCGUUUAGUGCAUUUUUCUGGCAAAUUAGCUCCAUUUUAAUCGUUUCAGGAUGAUCGACAAGUUCAAUAUCGAUGACCAGCGAUGCAUUAUGGGAUUGUGUUGUGAUGGACAACGGCCUUUUUGUUGAUAUGACACCGUCUAAUCGCCCAGUGCACAAGGCUAACCGCAUGGGGGCACGCUUGAAAACCCAUAUUAUUCAAAACAGUUAACUGGUCAAUUUCUUCAUUUCUGAGUUAUGAAGACACUAUGAAUAGGGCUUAUGGACAUUUGAAUAACAUCAGUUUAUUUCAUACCUGCAUCUCAUUAUAAACACACGGAACAUGGGCUUAUUUAUGAUUGAGCUUAGAGGUUUCAAUUGGUUAACAGCUAAAGAACCGAUGGACAAUCCAUCCUUAGCAACAACAAAAAGCUACAGCGGGCAUCUUGGAAUAUAAACCCCCAGUGACCAAAUUAUAUUUUUUUGCACCCUGCAGGAAAGCUCUAAUUUUUCAGCUUGACAGAUGUUGUAUUUUUGUUUUAUUUGGAGAUCACUGCUUGGUUUCGGUUUGUACGAAACUGCCUUAAUGAAGAGAUUUCAGAAAAAGGCUGAUACUGUCCGCGGUCCAGUUCAUAUAACUAUAAACAGCGGGUCAAUUCAAACAGAAUAAUAAACAUUUAAUGGCAGUUUAUUUGGUUUAAUGAUGAAGGAAGUUUUUAUUUGACGGAGGUUAAAACGACUCCAUUUGGCUCUAUAGAAAGCUGAAGGCUUGUCGGAUUUCAUGAAACUCCUUUAAGUACCCUUAACGUAGUUUUGGGGGUCAAGAGAGCAAAACGAUAAGAAUGGAAACCGAGCGUUGACACCCAGGAUAGAAAACGGACCUAAGAAAUAAAUUUCAAUGUUUAACUGUUUUCUCUGUCCCGUCUGUGUUAAUUUAUUAAUUGAACGAAAGAAAACUCUAUGCAAUGAAUUAUUUUAUUUUUAUUUUCUUGUCGACGUUUCUCCAUCGGUCUUUUAAAAUGUACUCUUAAUUAAAACCAUACAAGGAAAAAAAAUAUUAAAUAAUUUAUUGAGCUUUCUAGA